rnacentral:rRNA from 1 species
UACAGAGGUGGCAAGCGUUGUUCGGAAUUACUGGGCGUAAAGGGCGCGUAGGCGGCCAUCUAAGUCAGACGUGAAAUCCCCCGGCUUAACCUGGGAACUGCGUCUGAUACUGGAAGGCUUGAGUAUGGGAGAGGGAUGUAGAAUUCCAGGUGUAGCGGUGAAAUGCGUAGAUAUCUGGAGGAAUACCGGUGGCGAAGGCGGCAUCCUGGACCAUUACUGACGCUGAGGCGCGAAAGCGUGGGGAGCAAACAGG